rnacentral:rRNA from 1 species
UACGUAGGGGGCUAGCGUUGUCCGGAAUCAUUGGGCGUAAAGAGCGUGUAGGCGGCCCGGUAAGUCCGCUGUGAAAGUCGGGGGCUCAACCCUCGAAUGCCGGUGGAUACUGUCGGGCUAGAGUGCGGAAGAGGCGAGUGGAAUUCCUGGUGUAGCGGUGAAAUGCGCAGAUAUCAGGAGGAACACCGAUUGCGAAGGCAGCCCCCUGGGCUGAGAUUGACGCUCAGGCACGAAAGCGUGGGGAGCAAACAGG